AAAAUUAGAGUUUGAAUAGUCAUUUCCAAAUGCUCAGAAAUUUCGGACCCGUUUGGACUAGCUUUUGAAAAAGUGAUUUUAAUUUGAAGAAGUAAUUUUGAUUAAAAUCUGUAGAUCGUUUGGCAGAGUUUAAAUAAAAACGAUUUUUCUGAAGUGAUUUUGAAAAGCUGUUUGACAAAAUUUUUUUAAUGUUUGCGUAAAUUAUUAUUUUUAUUAAAUUUAUUUUAAAAUAAUUUAAAAAUCUAAAUUUAAAUUUGAAUUAAAAUUAAAAUUUUGAAUUUUGAAAUUGUACAAAAUUAUGAGUGUGACUAU
rnacentral:lncRNA from 1 species